CCCUUGCAACAUACUCCAUUGGAUAGCCACUUGGCUGAAGCAAAUGAAGUUGUCAAGCCAUGCUUUGAAACAACCAUGGUAGUGACCUCGUGGACCAUAUGGACCAGCAGGAACCAGCUGCUCUCUCCAUUGGAUAGCCACUUGGCUGAAGCAAGUGAAGUCAUUAAGCGAAGUCAACCCAUGCUUUGAAACAAUCAUGGUAGUGACCCCAUAGACCAUAUGGACCUGCAAGAACCAGAUGCUCCUUGAAGAGCUUGGAAUCAAGAGGACUACUCACUACUCCACAACAAAGGAAGGGAUAAGUUCUGCAGCGUAUCCAUAAAAAAAAACCAGAUUCCUACAAACUAGGAAGUCUUUAUUCUCGCAGCAGGACAGAGGAGAAGGGGAAUGAAAUGAGGCAGCAUAGCAUUCCAGUUGAAGAACAAAGAAGUCAGAAAAAUCAUGGAAGGCUGCCAAACCAGACGAGUCCACAGCAAAAUCUAGGCCACACUCUUAAGCUAGCAAUACAAAAAGGUAUCUUCCAAGCAAAGGGACAAGGCUAUCAAAGAGCAGUGAUCCUAACAAAGCAAAAACCAGUCCAAACUCGCUUGGACAAGGAUACAAUGCUAAAUGAAGUUUUGAAACAAUGGAGGGAAGAAGGAUACAAAUUUGUAAGCUUUGUUGUAGAACCUUAGAUCGUGGGACAUUCAAAUCUAUCUCCCUGAAAUAUUUCUAUUGAGGUAUUAAAAAAAUUUAACGAUUAGGAAUUAAAACCACAACCAAAAGUAUUGCAUGGGAAUAUGAAAUUGUGACAAGCAAUUUCUCUGGAACAGUUUUCCUCCAAACCAUCUCGAAGGUGAACCUUAUCCAGCUGUGUCCAUUAUUAAGCAAAACAUAUGACAAUCAUGAGACUAAAAGUGCAGUUUCUUUGGGAAUCUGACUAUGGCAUCCCACAACAAACAUAGAGUUUUGCAUGAUAUCAUCCUAAUUUGGAAACAAUAUCAAAUCUGACUUUACUAAGCUCUGCACCUUCACUUAUACCACUUCAUGGUCAGUGUGUCACCACCAACACCUCCCUACGGCCACUGUCAGCAGCACUCUCAAGAACAGUGGCCACCGCAUACAUUUAUAGCACCAUUUACCACAAUGGUUCACUAAAUUCCUGUUGCCACUGCCAGCUUGUAGUUUGCAAUUGCUGCCCCCAACAACCCAUCUACUGGCAGCCCUUCAAAUUGUAUACUAUUACUUAUUUUUAAGUAUCAACAGUUAUUGGCA